UUUUUCUUAAGAUUAGUUUUUUUUUUUUUUUUCUUAAGAUUAUAAUAUAAUUCUUCUCAAAUGGGCUUGGGCCAAAGCCUACAACAAAAAACAGUCCAGUUACAAAAGUGGUUAAUCGACAACAUUGCCGGAAAAAAAGAAAAGCUCUCUGCUCGUUGAUAGAUGCCAGCAGAGGACCGGAGCCUUAAAUCCGGCGGGCUCAAGAGCUACCGUUUCGUGGUCACCAACGAAGAUCGGGAAUCUCCAACGAAAGAGACCGGUUUUCAUCAUCAAAACCAUCCCUCCGAUGCACCAACCCACAACAGAUCUCCCGGAAAGCUAGUUGCUCCGACUAGGCACAUCGACGAAAUCGGAUCCUGAAAAAGCAACCCAAUCCACUGGGCGGUAACCCUUCUCUUCCAAACCGAAAGUAGCCAAAAAACCUGAGUUUCGACGAUUCAAUCCGGCUCGAUGGAUGCUAAAUUGAGGCAGAUCUAAAGGAUGGUGGCUCAAAUCCAUUGCCUUUAAACCCGAACUCCUCAACCGCCCUCUAAGACCCUAUGGAUCUGCAGCUAACCACCGUGCAAACCAAUUUUUUAAGAUUAGUUUUCUUUUAUAACAAUUUUAGUUUUAAUUAGAAAAACUUGACAAGAUUUUGAAGGUUUAAUAAGAUAAUUUAGACUUCUUUUUAAAUAUUCAUGAUCAAAUUUACAGCUCCAAAUUUUU